UCGGUCCUACGGGACGCAGCAGUGAGGAAUGUUAGUCAAUGGGCGCGAGCCUGAACCAGCCAAGUAGCGUGAAGGAUGACUGCCCUACGGGUUGUAAGCUUCUUUUAUAAAGGAAUAAAGUGAGGCACGUGUGCCUUUUUGUAUGUAUUUUAUGAAUAAGGAUCGGCUAACUCCGUGCCAGCAGCCGCGGUAAUACGGAGGAUCCGAGCGUUAUCCGGAUUUUUUGGGUUUAAAUGGAGCGUAGAUGGGUUGUUAAGUCAGUUUUGAAAGUUU
rnacentral:rRNA from 1 species